UACGGGGGGGCAAGCGUUGUUCGGAAUUACUGGGCGUAAAGGGCCAGUAGGCGGCCAACUAAGUCGGAUGUGAAAUCCCCAGGCUUAACCUGGGAACUGCAUCCGAUACUGGAUGGCUUGAAUUCGGGAGAGGGAUGCAGAAUUCCAGGUGUAGCGGUGAAAUGCGUAGAGAUCGGGAGGAACACCAGUGGCGAAGGCGGCUACCUGGACCAGCACUGACACUGAGGCACGAAAGCGUGGGAGCAACAGG
rnacentral:rRNA from 1 species